ensembl:lncRNA
GUGAAAACAUGGAGUAUGAUUUCAAGACUUGCUGCUAUCGAAUACAGAUCGCCCCGUGAUCAAUUUGAUAGAUUAUUAACGUUUAUUAAUACCUAAAGUUGGUUUAGAAAAGUAGUUUGAAGUGAUUUGUAAAAGUAUAUAGGCAACUUUUGUAAUUUUAAAAAGUGACGUUGCGUCUUGUAAAGGGGCAUUUUUCUGGAUCAGACCGGUCUUCAGCAAAUCACAUUUUGGGUAUACAAUGACGGAUUUAAUCGGGAAAAAGACCCAAUUGUGAUGUUUAUGUGACAUAUAGGAGUGCCAAGAAAGAAGCUCAUCAAAGUACCUCCACAGUCCUGAGCCUCAGACCUUCAGGAUAGACGAAACCUACAAGAGGGAGGGGUGUGCUGGGACUGGUUACUCCCGAUGACCCUACCGGAGAGAGUAGAGACGAGCUGGAUAAAGCCAUCAUGAACCUUACCAUAAAAAAACACAAGGACCACAUCAAGUCAACAAAGGAGGAAUUCCGACCUGUGUUAAUUAAGUGUGUGUAAAUGGAAUGCAAUUACAUUUUCAUGCACUUUUCUCUAGGUGUAUUCCGACCUUGAACUUAGGCAUUAGAAUGGUAUGUUGAAGUCAAAUGUCUACUGUUUGCCGAUUAUCUGGUGCUUCUGUCCCCAACCAAGGAGGAUCUAAAGCAGCACUUAGAUCUUAUGUACAGAUUCUGUCAGACCUGGGCCCUGCACAGACCUGGGCCCUGUCAGACCUGGGCCCUCACAGACCUGGGCCCUGCACAGACCUGGGCCCUGCCAGACCUGGGCCCUAACAAGGACCUGAGCCCUAGCACCAUGCUCCAGGACUACCUGACAUGAUGACUCCUUGCUGUCCCCAGUCCACCUGGCCGUGCUGCUGCUCCAGUUUCAACUGUUCUGCCUUAUUAUUAUUCGACCAUGCUGAUCAUUUAUGAACAUUUGAACAUCUUGGUCAUGUUCUGUUAUAAUCUCCACCCGGCACAGCCAGAAGAGGACUGGCCACCCCACAUAUGCUCUCUCUAAUUCUCUCUUUCUUUCUCUCUCUCGGAGAACCUGAGCCCUAGGACCAUGCCCCAGGACUACCUGACAUGAUGACUCCUUGCUGUCCCCAGUCCACCUGACCGUGCUGCUGCUCCAGUUUCAACUGUUCUGCCUUAUUAAUAUUCGACCAUGCUGGUCAUUUAUGAACAUUUGAACAUCUUGGCCAUGUUCUGUUAUAAUCUCCACCCGGCACAGC